AAAAUAUUUAAACUCAGAGCUGUGCUUAGCUGCCCUCUGUUAUUUUUAUGCCAUUAAGGUUGAACUCAUUGUUGGGUCAUCGUUUCUUUUUCAGGUAAGAAAAAAAGAAUGUUGAGGGAUGUCCAGCCCUCAGGAGGCAGUGGAAAAUUUAUAAAGGGGCCUUAUGGAGAUAUAGGAAACUCUAGCAGUAGCAGUGAAGAUCCUUCUCUGGCAAGAAGAGCAGAUUAUAGAAACAACAGACUGCGUAAUCACAGCACAAUAGAAGAGUUAAAGAGAGUGUGUAUAGCAGAGAAGUCGCGUGGCCCUGCUGAUGAUACUCAUAUGUUUGAAGAAAACACUGAAGAUGACUUGGAUGUCAGUUAUUUUCAUAAGGCCAGCAUUGAGAAAGAAUUGUCUGGAGAGAGCAGCCUUGGAAGCAGUUAUGCUGGUAGUAGUGAUACUGAUGAUACGGUCGGCAGGGAUGAUCCCACCAGCCCAAGUGAAACAUCUUUGGACAGCCUAAUUUGGGAGAAAUAUUAUAGUGUGUUGUCUGUCAACCGCCAGAUGAACAUCCCCCAAGUCAUGGAGACACGUAUAUCUCUAAUUAAGAUUCAGUCCAGGAAGCAGAGAUUCCGUAUGUAUUCUGGAAUGUCUUUAUUAAGACACAUUGUAGAUAAGAAUUAAGCACUACCUAGACCACCAUUUUCAGAGUGACCUGAUAGCCACAAGAAGGGCAAGCAUAAUUUAGAACAACUGGUAUUCCAAGAGACACAUUCAUAGUCAUGUGUUUUUAGUUCUGUCAUUUAUUUUAGUAGCCUUUGGAUUUUGUAUCACAGAUCAUAUUUGCAUAUGUGUUCUUCUCCAAAAUACCUUCAUUUUCCAGUCAAUUUUGUCAAUUUGGUUAAUGAAAAAAAUUAAGGGUUCACACUUUCCCCACAUUAGUUGUACCUCACCACAGAUAUUCUCGAUUUCAUUUCUCAGCAUGUAUCCUGUUAAAGAAGGUCCUACCAGGCAAUGGGGACAUGUGACCAAGAGUAGUAGCUAGUGAGCACAAGAACAAAAUGUUUUUCCAGAUGGGAGGUGUAAAACUGACUUUCCUCACUAUAAACUGUGCCUUUUAUUCUAUCAAGGUUUGGGUAGAAAUUAUGGAGAAACCCUAGCUUUCCUGAAUAAUUCCAACACACAGUGAACUCUGAACAGUACCUUAGCUGUCUUGGUGGUCAAAUCUGAAAGAACAUCCAUUCAUUGUGCUGGAGAUACAA
rnacentral:lncRNA from 1 species